GGUGACGGUUCCCCUCGGGGAUCAAAAGGGAACGCGGUGAGGGGGAACCCGAUGCCGCGGCUGCCCCCGCAACUGUAAGCGGCGAGCCUUCCGCCACCAUGUCACUGGGCAGUCGCGCCCGGGAAGACGGUGAGAGGGCAGAGACCCGCGAGCCAGGAGACCUGCCGUCAGUCGU
rnacentral:ncRNA from 1 species